GGAAUAUUGGACAAUGGGCGCAAGCCUGAUCCAGCCAUGCCGCGUGCAGGAUGACGGUCCUAUGGAUUGUAAACUGCUUUUGCACAGGAAGAAACAACAUUACGUGUAAUGUCUUGACGGUACUGUGAGAAUAAGGAUCGGCUAACUCCGUGCCAGCAGCCGCGGUAAUACGGAGGAUCCAAGCGUUAUCCGGAAUCAUUGGGUUUAAAGGGUCCGUAGGCGGUCUUAUAAGUCAGUGGUGAAAUCCCCCCGCUCAACGGGGAAAUUGCCAUUGAUACUGCAGGGCUUGAAUUAUUGGGAAGUAACUAGAAUAUGUAGUGUAGCGGUGAAAUGCUUAGAUAUUACAUGGAAUACCAAUUGCGAAGGCAGGUUACUACUAAUUGAUUGACGCUGAUGGACGAAAGCGUGGGUAGCGAACAGGAUUAGAUACCCCGG
rnacentral:rRNA from 1 species